rnacentral:rRNA from 1 species
AUUGAACGCUGGCGGCAUGCUUUACACAUGCAAGUCGAACGGUAACAGGCCUUCGGGUGCUGACGAGUGGCGAACGGGUGAGUAAUGCAUCGGAACGUGCCCAAUCGUGGGGGAUAGCGUAGCGAAAGUUACGCUAAUACCGCAUAAGCCCUGAGGGGGAAAGCAGGGGAUCGCAAGACCUUGCGCGAAUGGAGCGGCCGAUGUCAGAUUAGCUAGUUGGUGGGGUAAAGGCCUACCAAGGCGACGAUCUGUAGCUGGUCUGAGAGGACGACCAGCCACACUGGGACUGAGACACGGCCCAGACUCCUACGGGAGGCAGCAGUGGGGAAUUUUGGACAAUGGGCGCAAGCCUGAUCCAGCCAUUCCGCGUGCAGGAUGAAGGCCUCGGGUUGUAAACUAGCUUCGUUACGGAACGAAACGG